GGUUAAGCGACUAAGCGUACACGGUGGAUGCCCUGGCAGUCAGAGGCGAUGAAGGGCGUGCUAAUCUGCGAUAAGCGCCGGUAAGGUGAUAUGAACCGUUAUAACCGGCGAUACCCGAAUGGGGAAACCCAGUGUGACUCGUCACACUAUCAUUAACUGAAUCCAUAGGUUAAUGAGGCGAACCGGGGGAACUGAAACAUCUAAGUACCCCGAGGAAAAGAAAUCAACCGAGAUUCCCCCAGUAGCGGCGAGCGAACGGGGAGUAGCCCAGAGCCUGAAUCAGCAUGUGUGUUAGUGGAAGCGUCUGGAAAGGCGCGCGAUACAGGGUGACAGCCCCGUACACAAAAGCGCAUGUGCUGUGAGCUCGAUGAGUAGGGCGGGACACGUGGUAUCCUGUCUGAAUAUGGGGGGACCAUCCUCCAAGGCUAAAUACUCCUGACUGACCGAUAGUGAACCAGUACCGUGAGGGAAAGGCGAAAAGAACCCCGGCGAGGGGAGUGAAAAAGAACCUGAAACCGUGUACGUACAAGCAGUGGGAGCACAGGUUUACCUGUGUGACUGCGUACCUUUUGUAUAAUGGGUCAGCGACUUAUAUUCUGUAGCAAGGUUAACCGUAUAGGGGAGCCGUAGGGAAACCGAGUCUUAACCGGGCGUUAAGUUGCAGGGUAUAGACCCGAAACCCGGUGAUCUAGCCAUGGGCAGGUUGAAGGUUGGGUAACACUAACUGGAGGACCGAACCGACUAAUGUUGAAAAAUUAGCGGAUGACCUGUGGCUGGGGGUGAAAGGCCAAUCAAACCGGGAGAUAGCUGGUUCUCCCCGAAAGCUAUUUAGGUAGCGCCUCGUGAAUUCAUCUCCGGGGGUAGAGCACUGUUUCGGCUAGGGGGCCAUCCCGGCUUACCAACCCGAUGCAAACUGCGAAUACCGGAGAAUGUUAUCACGGGAGACACACGGCGGGUGCUAACGUCCGUCGUGAAGAGGGAAACAACCCAGACCGCCAGCUAAGGUCCCAAAGUCAUGGUUAAGUGGGAAACGAUGUGGGAAGGCCCAGACAGCCAGGAUGUUGGCUUAGAAGCAGCCAUCAUUUAAAGAAAGCGUAAUAGCUCACUGGUCGAGUCGGCCUGCGCGGAAGAUGUAACGGGGCUAAACCAUGCACCGAAGCUGCGGCAGCGACGCUGAUGCGUUGUUGGGUAGGGGAGCGUUCUGUAAGCCUGCGAAGGUGGCCUGUGAGGGUUGCUGGAGGUAUCAGAAGUGCGAAUGCUGACAUAAGUAACGAUAAAGCGGGUGAAAAGCCCGCUCGCCGGAAGACCAAGGGUUCCUGUCCAACGUUAAUCGGGGCAGGGUGAGUCGACCCCUAAGGCGAGGCCGAAAGGCGUAGUCGAUGGGAAACGGGUUAAUAUUCCCGUACUUGGUGUUACUGCGAAGGGGGGACGGAGAAGGCUAUGUUGGCCGGGCGACGGUUGUCCCGGUUUAAGCGUGUAGGUGUGUGUUCCAGGUAAAUCCGGUUCACUUUAACACUGAGGCGUGAUGACGAGGCACUACGGUGCUGAAGCAACAAAUGCCCUGCUUCCAGGAAAAGCCUCUAAGCAUCAGGUAACAUCAAAUCGUACCCCAAACCGACACAGGUGGUCAGGUAGAGAAUACCAAGGCGCUUGAGAGAACUCGGGUGAAGGAACUAGGCAAAAUGGUGCCGUAACUUCGGGAGAAGGCACGCUGACACGUAGGUGAAGUGAUUUACUCAUGGAGCUGAAGUCAGUCGAAGAUACCAGCUGGCUGCAACUGUUUAUUAAAAACACAGCACUGUGCAAACACGAAAGUGGACGUAUACGGUGUGACGCCUGCCCGGUGCCGGAAGGUUAAUUGAUGGGGUCAGCGCAAGCGAAGCUCCUGAUCGAAGCCCCGGUAAACGGCGGCCGUAACUAUAACGGUCCUAAGGUAGCGAAAUUCCUUGUCGGGUAAGUUCCGACCUGCACGAAUGGCGUAAUGAUGGCCAGGCUGUCUCCACCCGAGACUCAGUGAAAUUGAACUCGCUGUGAAGAUGCAGUGUACCCGCGGCAAGACGGAAAGACCCCGUGAACCUUUACUAUAGCUUGACACUGAACAUUGAGCCUUGAUGUGUAGGAUAGGUGGGAGGCUUUGAAGUGUGGACGCCAGUCUGCAUGGAGCCGACCUUGAAAUACCACCCUUUAAUGUUUGAUGUUCUAACGUGGACCCGUAAUCCGGGUUGCGGACAGUGUCUGGUGGGUAGUUUGACUGGGGCGGUCUCCUCCUAAAGAGUAACGGAGGAGCACGAAGGUUGGCUAAUCCUGGUCGGACAUCAGGAGGUUAGUGCAAUGGCAUAAGCCAGCUUGACUGCGAGCGUGACGGCGCGAGCAGGUGCGAAAGCAGGUCAUAGUGAUCCGGUGGUUCUGAAUGGAAGGGCCAUCGCUCAACGGAUAAAAGGUACUCCGGGGAUAACAGGCUGAUACCGCCCAAGAGUUCAUAUCGACGGCGGUGUUUGGCACCUCGAUGUCGGCUCAUCACAUCCUGGGGCUGAAGUAGGUCCCAAGGGUAUGGCUGUUCGCCAUUUAAAGUGGUACGCGAGCUGGGUUUAGAACGUCGUGAGACAGUUCGGUCCCUAUCUGCCGUGGGCGCUGGAGAACUGAGGGGGGCUGCUCCUAGUACGAGAGGACCGGAGUGGACGCAUCACUGGUGUUCGGGUUGUCAUGCCAAUGGCACUGCCCGGUAGCUAAAUGCGGAAGAGAUAAGUGCUGAAAGCAUCUAAGCACGAAACUUGCCCCGAGAUGAGUUCUCCCUGAGACUUAAAGUCUCCUGAAGGAACGUUGAAGACGACGACGUUGAUAGGCCGGGUGUGUAAGCGCAGCGAUGCGUUGAGCUAACCGGUACUAAUGAACCGUGAGGCUUAACCUU
rnacentral:rRNA from 1 species